GACAAAGCUGUUUGUCCAUCUUGCAUUUCUUCCGAUUCUCACGAGCGACACAAAUUCUUUAAGAUUUCCGAAAUGUUUGAUGCCAAAAAGGAAAUCAUAAGAAAUGAAACCCAUGAACUGGAGCAAACCGUGUAUCCUGCCUACAAAGGUAUUGUUGAGCAAGCAGAAUCGAAUGUGAUGAAAUUAGAAAAAGGCUACGAAACGUUGGAACAGAACAUAGAGAAACAACGCAAGAAGUGGCAUGAAGAAGUUGACAACAUUGCCCACAAGCUGAAAAGCGAAACUGGCGACAUGAAGAAAAAACAGCUUAAAGCGCUGAAUGAACAUCUACAAAAACUGAAAGAACUUCUUGCUGAGGUCCAAGGAACAAUUGAUUCAAACAAAGACCUACUGAAUUCAUCCAACGUUUCGAAAUCGCUUUCGUACACAAGUAGAAAUCAGUCGUUGAAACAGUUUCCUGCAAAGCUAGAGGUAUCAGUUCCAUGUUUCUUGUCUCAGCCGAUGAACAGCGAUGUGAUUCUAGAAAUGUUUGGAGUCGUUACUGGAUUCUCAAUAUCAAACCAAGAUGGUGGAUACGAUCCCGAAUCACAGAUCAAACCUGCUGCAUCUUCUGGCAAAGAUAUCGAAAUGGAUUUACUAAACGAACCACAAAUUAUAUCCAUUAUUGAAACAGAAAUUGAAUAUCCAGAGAAUGUAGCAUGUCAGAAGGAUGGCAAAAUAUGGAUUGCAGGCAGUAAGGGUAAAUUGAAGAUGUUUUAUGGGGUGCCCUUGAAUGUUUCUCGUCUUAGUUUUGGUGUUGUUGGUUCGUCUUUUGCUCUGAAGGAGCUCGAGUCUGAAACAGACGAAUGUCCUAAAGACAUUGCGUUAACGAGAACAGGUGAUCUGAUCUACGGGAAAAAACUCCAGAAUGUUGUUUAUAUUGCAAGGCAAAACAAAACAGAUGAACUGAUCAAUCUUCAUGACUGGGGGCUCUUGAGUUUCUGUACUACACCACGCGGUGAGCUUUUAGUUGCCAUGACAGAUGACAGAAAAUACAGAUGUAGAGUCGUCCGUUUUGAGGGUUCCAAAGAAAGGCAAAUCAUUCAAUAUGAUCACGAGGGAAAGCCCCUUUACACCUCCGGGAUGCUGAGAAAGUACGUCAAAGAAAAUCAGAAUGGCGAUAUUUGUGUAGCUGAUUGUAAUGCUGGGGCAGUAGUAGUGACCGAUAGAGCAGGGAAUUUUAGGUUUCGGUAUACCGGAAGUACCUUAUCUCAACAAGAGGCUCAAUUCCGCCCUGUGGGAAUCACUACUGACAGACAGGCUCAUAUUCUCGUCUCUGAUUCAUUGAACGUGCACAUCGUUGAUAUGAACGGACAGUUCCUCUGCUUCUUGAAUUUAGUAUUUAACGAUCCAUUGCGAAUAGCUACAGAUAGUGAAGACAAUCUUUAUGUAGUUGAAACAUCUGGCAUUGUGAAGAAAGUUCGAUAUUUGACAGAACUUAAAGGCACUCUCACUGAAUAUAUUCCAGGACAUGUCGGACGGAAAAGGAUACUUGGGGCACAAAAGAAGAAAUAAAUUCAAGAUCAUUCAUGGUCCAAGAGUUGCUUCAUCUGUCUGCAAUGAAUGUACAUAGCCAUUACCGGAAAAUUUAUAGCCGUUUCAGAAUAAGACAUAGUUACUUGUUGUACUGUGACGUGCCAAAAAAGAUGCAACUUUUCCCGAACGUCUUUGUCAGUCAGCAAACUCUAUCGUCAUUUCAAACUAUCAUAAAUUAAAAUAAUUGUUAAAAAAUAGGUUUUUUGUAGCAUGAUAUAACAGGGGUCUUUCUUCUUUUUGUAUGUUGAUUCUUUGAAAAUGAAAUCUUUUAUUUGC
rnacentral:misc_RNA from 1 species